UGUUGCAGCAUGAGAGCGGAGCAGAACAGAGGUUUCUGCUGGCACAGCACUGCUGGAUGUGAAGAGUCAUGAUUUAGUCAAGAGUCUCCUCAUAUCCCAAGGACAUGUUCAUGUUCAAAAGGCUGUUCUCCCUCAGGCUCCGUGAACCCUACCCAUGAGCCCCUUCUGCCCUGACUUCUUUCAUGUGUGCGCAUUGUUAUUUUGCUGGUGCCGUGUCAAAUGGGUUCGCUGCUUUAAUUGACCGAAGAAAACAGCUGCAGAAAUCGUCAUUAAAAUAGCAUUUGCGACGAUCGGCUGUGAGUGGAGAAGUUGGGGGGGGGGUUCUUGAACCGUCGACCCUUUCGGAGGUGACCUGUACAGGAGACGUGACCUUUGCUGCUGCACAACCGGAGGAUUCGUCGAGGAACAUCGCGUUGCUUUGGAUUUACGUUUACAGACAUUCAGAAAUCAAGGCAUGCACGAGCCUAACCGCGCCUGCAGUGUUGCGUGGCGAGGAGCCACAACAGCUGAGUUAGUUCCUCUGCCGAGUGCCGAGGAGAGCUUACAUAUUCUGCACACAAAUAGGCUGGAAGCCCACAAGCGACGAAAAAAAAAAGAGCUGUUGUCAGCCAGAGAGGAGCACACACAGAGCCAGUGGGAAAUCGGCUCAACCAUGCAAAACAACUGGAGGGCAGAAAAGGCCCUUUGUGACAGCAGCAUCUUCUGUCAAUGCGUCAUGUGUAGAUUUUUAUUUUAUUUGGAUUUUAUGGGAUAAACCAUGAAACCAUGAAGUUUUCAAUACAAUCUUACUGCAGCAUUUAAAUCCAGAAUUCAAUGAAAUGUAACUUGGUUAACUUUUGUAUUUUAUUUUUAUGUUUUUUUCACAUUUUGUCCAUUUGAACAAGCAAAUUAAUUUCAUUGGAAUUUGAUAUAACAUGUGAACACAGAAUUGUGCGGCUUCAAAGUGUUUAUUUGAUACUUGUAAAUAAAAAGUUGCAUGGAUUUGUUUUCAAACCUGUCAAACUUUUCACUGCGUUUACAGCAGCAAGUUUUUUCGUCGUAUGUCUCCAGCAGUAAAUGUUGUUGGCAACUACAAAA